CCUGGCGACGAGUGGCGAACGGUUUAGCAAUGCAUCGGAACGUGACCAACAGUGGGGGAUAGCCCGGCGAAAGCCGGAUUAAUACCGCAUACGACCUGAGGGUGAAAGCGGGGGACCGUAAGGCCUCGCGCUGAUGGAGCGGCCGAUGUCGGAUUAGCUAGUUGGUGGGGUAAAGGCUUACCAAGGCAACGAUCCGUAGCUGGUCUGAGAGGACGACCAGCCACACUGGGACUGAGACACGGCCCAGACUCCUACGGGAGGCAGCAGUGGG
rnacentral:rRNA from 1 species